UUGUUAUUUAGUUAUUGCACCACAAUUAAAUUAUUUUAAGGAUCGGGACGUCUGAGACUCUGCUACGGGGAAACCUGGGAUCAAGCCGGAGAAGCAGUGAGCAACUUCCAGAUUCAUCCUUAUGGUGCUUAUGAACAGUAUGGCGUGCGUAUCAGGCACUGGUGGACUCUUGCCACGAAGUAAGGACAUGCUGGCAUCUUGCAUUUUUAUAAGAAUAAAUCAAUUAGUCAAAAUCAGUUUUCAAACCCUACAUACCUUGAAACUGCAAAUAAACUUCUCAUCACAAAGUCUGUAUGUGGACAAGAGAAAGGAACUAAAAAAUGAAACAUCUAUAAGUUAAACAUUAGGAAGACGCAGGAUUUCCAACUCACCUGGAGCUUAGGAGACAAGAUUAUUCUCCCUGCCCAAAACAUCUGCUUGAACAUUAUUUUUGGCUGAGAACUUGAUCUCUCUGUUAUGACUCUUAACAGUUUUCAAGUUGGAAGAAGAAACUGCUCAUCUGUCCUUUACUCCAAAAGCACGAGGUAUUGUGAACAUUUCUGUGAAAAUGAUCUGAUGGUCUACAUGAACCCACAGAGGCAGAAGAGAGAUUACUCAAGAAUUUUAGACAGACUGCACCUGCUGAGGCAUAACAAUUACAACACAUAUUAUUCUCUUUAAUAAGCAAGUCAACACAGCUUGUUUUUUCUUCAAAAAGGUUAAAACAAGCUUUAUUUUAACAUACAAAUCAGAUUGUGUACAAGGCAAAAACAUACCCCUAUAGUGAUAGGCAUAUUGGGUCUCCACACACCAUGUGUAGCCACUUGUGCUAUAGUAAUCCUGAGAUAUGGAAAAAAGCCCUAAAAAUCUUUUUUAAAAGGCAAAAAUACCUCCUUUUAGUCACUCUUGCUAUAGUCACCUUCAUUUGGGAAUUAAGAAAAAAGAUUGUAGAGUUCUGAGUCAAGAAAACAAAUAAUCUACAAGCAAAAUACCCAAGAUUUGUCUAAUUCCCUGCUGUCAUCUGGGUACACUAGCAAGAGCACUUGGGGAACAAAUCAAGAGACGCACAUAUGCAAGGUUACUUCUUUUAACACUGGAAAGCAUGUCGAAGAAUGCAAAGAUAUUUUUGCUACCUUCAACUACUACUGUCUUCACAAACUGUUUGGUCUAUGUGUCAAGUUUACACAUCCUAUUAACUUCAUUCUCUACACUGUGUGUUAAGUUAGUAAAAACAGCCCAACUAUUUUUGUUUCCUUUCACUAUGAGGUUAUACGUGAUAUAGAAAUAUCUUCAAAAGCUUAUAAAAGCAGUAGAACUACAGACAUUUAAAGUCAUGUCUCUAACAUUAAAGGCUACUUGAACACCUGCAUUUUGCCAGAAGAUUGUAUUUGUCAUUAACUGACAUUAAAAAAAGGAAGUCUUUUUUUAAAGUAAAAGUUAAGGGAAAGUUAUAGAUAGGUUUGGGGUUUUUUUUUAGUUUUCCAACAUACAAAAAUAAGUUACACUAUAUAUUAUGGCUUUCGUUAUCUACUCAUUUAGUAGAAGAGUGUUAUCAUGGAUUUAAACACUAGAUGUUGUAACUAAUUAACUUGCUGUGUUCUUCAGACUUUCCUUCUUUGAAUUUUCAAUUUGUGAAAAGAAACAACCAGAUAUUAGAGGGAAAAUUAAGAAUCCUCCCAAACAAUUUAAAUAGCAAGAAGCACUUGUAGGAGAAAUCUUUCAGAGAAUAUUUUAAUUUAUUUUAAAAUUUUCACUUCAUUUUUAAAGUAAUUUAAUAUUGAAGUUUUAAUUUAAUCUUCUUGGCGCAAAUAAAGGCCAAGCCAAACAUCUCACACACUUCAACAGUCAGGACUUCAUACUGAGUCUCAUUUCAGAAAUGUGUACACACCAGUAUGAUACUAUUAUGCUACUGAAGUAAUCAUCUGUCUUUAAUGUUUGUUAACCAUACAAGAUAAUAGUUAAAUUUGGUAUGCAGCUAUCUUAAAAAGGCUACAAUAAUGCUAAGUCAAGAAGAUUCAAAACUACAACACAACUGCUCAAUAUUAAGUGUUGUUCACUACAAAUAGGGAGGGGAGGGUGGGCACAAGAUGCCCGAGUCAAAGACUGGAAAGACUUUGUUUACACAUCGCUGUAUUAUUAAUGGCUGUGCAUACUUACAUUUUGAAGUCCGAAGUUGAAUUCAAAUUGGACAAGCUACGAAAAUAUUCAAAUACAUGUAAAUAAAAAGAAUUCUAUUUCAUAACUAAAGUAAUAAAAAAAACCCAAACUUGUGCAGUUGAAGUAGCAUUUGCAACAACAAAGUUUACAGCAGACAAACAUAAAUUUCAGACUUACAAAUUCAAUAAGGAAGAUUGUGGCACCAAAUUUGAGAAUAUUUUCAAGCUCUCAACUCAGGACAGAAGAGUUGCCAGUUGAAUAAAUUUAACCGACUACUUUCCAGCUCCUUGUAAACAAGGCUCCAUGUGGAGCAAAAGAGGAGCCUUCUCUCCUCUUUUGCAUAAAGAGAAGUAUCUGAAAGGCAAGCUGCAGUGAUUGUUUCUGACAGCAGUAGAAUAAAGAAGCAGAUAGAAAAGUAAGUAUAUAAAAAUGUUCUUACAGAAAAGAGAUCUGUCCUGGUUUGAUUUUGUUUAUGAAAAGGCACUUCACAUAUUGCUAAAACUCAGAUAACAUACUUGUCCUUUCAGUUUUUCUGUUAGAAGGCUGUAUUUCAAGGUGGUUAGCAUGAGUAUGCAAAUGUUCUAUCUGUUACAAAUUUUAUAAUUACAUAUAGUAUCUUACACCAAUUAGUUAGAAGAACAGAUUCAUGUUCAAAAUAAUAGCAGGUCUUGAAACAAUACUUCAGUGAUGAUGGACGAUCUGUCAUAAGCAACACACCACCUGUAGUGAGUUCAUGCUAAUAAAAUUAGCAAUAUAAAUCAGAA